GGAGAGGUGUCCGAGCGGUUUAAGGAGCCGGUCUUGAAAACCGGUUGGCGCUUAUAGCGCCACGAGGGUUCGAAUCCCUCCCUCUCCG
rnacentral:tRNA from 1 species